rnacentral:lncRNA from 1 species
AUGGGAAAAACUAGAGAUCUCUUCAAGAAAAUUAGAGAUACCAAGGGAAUAUUUCAUGCAAAGAUGGGCUCGAUAAAGGACAGAAAUGGUAUGGACCUAACAGAAGCAGAAGAUAUUAAGAAGAGGUGGCAAGAAUACACAGAAGAACUGUACAAUAAAGAGCUUCAUGACCCAGAUAAUCAUGAUGGUGUGAUCACUCACCUAGACCCAGACAUCCUGGAAUGUGAAGUCAAGUGGGCCUUAGAAAGGAUCACUACGAACAAAGCUAGUGGAGGUGAGGGCAUUCCAGCUGAGUUAUUUCAAAUCCUGAAAGAUGAUGCUAUGAAAGUGCUGCACUCAAUAUGCCAGGAAAUUUGGAAAACUCAGCAGUGGCCACAGGACUGGAAAAGGGCAGUUUUCAUUCCAAUCCCAAAAAAAGGCAAUGCCAAAGAAUGCUCAAACUACUGCACAAUUGCACUCAUCUCGCACACUAGUAAAGUAAUGCUCAAAAUUCUCCAAGCCAGACUUCAGCAAUACAUGAACCGUGAACUUCCAGAUGUUCAAGCUGGUUUUAAAAAAGGCAGAGGAACCAGAGAUCAAAUUGCCAACAUCUGCUGGAUCAUCAAAAAAGCAAGAGAGCUCCAGAAAAACAUCUAUUUCUGCUUUAUUGACUAUGCCAAAGCCUUUGACUGUGUGGAUCACAACAAACCCUGGAAAAUUCUGAAAGAGAUGGGACUACCAGACCACCUGACCUGCCUCUUAAGAAAUCUGUAUGCAGGUCAGGAAGCAACAGUUAGAACUGGACAUGGAACAACAGACUGGUUCCCAAUAGGAAAAGGAGUCCAUCAAGGCUAUGUAUUGUCACCCUGCUUAUUUAACUUAUAUGCAGAGUACAUCAUGAGAAAUGUUGGGCUGGAAGAAGCACAAGCUGGAAUCAAGACUGCCAGGAGAAAUAUCAAUAACCUCAGAUAUGCAGAUGACAGCAACUUUACGGCAGAAAGUGAAGAGGAGCUAAAAAGCCUCUUGAUGAAAGUGAAAGUGGAGAGUGAAAAAGUUGGCUUAAAGCUCAACAUUCAGAAAAUGAAGAUCAUGGCAUCCGGUCCCAUCACUUCAUGGGAAAUAGAUGGGGAAAUAGUGGAAACAGUGUCAGACUUUAUUUUUUUGGGCUCCAGAAUCACUGCAGAUGGUGACCACAGCCAUAAAGUUAAAAGACACUUACUCCUUGGAAAGAAAGUUAUGACCAACCUAGAUAGCGUAUUGAAAAGCAGAGACAUUACUUUGCCGACUAAGGUCCAUCUAGUCAAGGCUAUGGUUUUUCCUGUGGUCAUGUAUGGAUGUGAGAGUUGGACUGUGAAGAAGGCUGAGCACUGA